rnacentral:rRNA from 1 species
UCCACGCCGUAAACGAUGGUCACUAGUUGUCGGGGCGCGAGCUUCGGUGACUAAGCGAAAGUGAUAAGUGACCCGCCUGGGGAGUACGAUCGCAAGGUUGAAACUCAAAGGAAUUGACGGGGGCCCGCACAAGCGGUGGAGCAUGUGGUUUAAUUCGAUGCAACGCGAAGAACCUUACCGGGGUUUGACAUGUCGAUGGCGCAGGUAGAGAUAUCUGUUUCUUUCGGGACG